ensembl:lncRNA
CCUUUAUCCUGGGCGUAACAGAAGGACGGAUGGAUGAGUUGUGGCUGCCCAGUCUCUGUCGUGCGCAGGUGGUCCCCGCCCGGAAAGGGGGAACCUGCAGUGUCCGCUCACAGCCAGCCAGGUCUGGGGCCUCACCUCUUUGAGCCUCGGUUUCCCUAUCUGCAUGUGAGCACUGGAGUAUGGGUGGAGUGGGGAGGCCCUAUUUUCUUAAUACUGCCAAGCCUCGAUGUCCGUAUCUUUGAAAUGGGCUUAUAAACCCACUUGAAAGUGAUGUCCUGGGGGUUAAAUGAGAUAGUACCUGUAACAUAAAGUGACUGGCGCGAAGAAACUCCAUUGUCAUUAAUAUUAUUAUUGUCUCUACCGAAUCAAAAUUAUAAUACAAAUAAGAUAAUAACAAUAAUUAUGUCUUUUCCUGGGUCUUGCUGUUAUAAAAACAGCUACAAUAAUAACUAACCUUUACUGAGCACACAUUUUGUGCCAAACAUUCAUUAAUCCUCUUAUGUAACCCCCACUCUGGCCUCUGAGGUUGUUACUGGGGCAUGCCCACUGUACAGACUGGGCAACCGAAUCUCCCAGAGGUUAACUAACUUGCUGAAGGUCAAGUAGCUGGUAAGUGCAGAGUAAGGAUUGUGCCAAAGCCCUUUAUGGCACUUUUUAUAGCUCCUGCCUUUUCCACCUUUGGACGAAUGUAUUGAUGAAAGGUCAUCCUUUCGUAUAACUGAAAUAGGCCUCCCUCUGAAAAUGUCUACCCAUUGGUCCAAGCUCAAAAAACCAAAGGAUGAAAAUCUAGAGAGAAUGAUGGGAAGGAGCUUAGAUUCCUGGGAGAACAGAACACGAGGACUCCAGUUAUAGACAAAGGAUCAAGAGAAAAUCAAAGAAGACAAAACUCAAUUUUGGCCAUCUUCACACAAGUGUAUAAGCUUUGAACCUUACAGCUUUGCUGAAGGCUCAGAUCAGCAAAGAAUGCCUGCACCAGCCAGAAAACCUGACAGGCACGGGGCUUUUAUAGAUGUUUGAAAAGUAUCUAUAUACAUAGACGUAUUUUUCUAAAUCAUUUGUAGGCAAGUUCCAUGCUCUGUAACCCCUUACCCCUAUAUACUUUGAUAUGUCUUACAUAACCACAGUACAGUUACCAAAUUCAUAAAUUUAUAUUGUAUCUAAUCUAGGUUCAUCUUCCAAUUUUGCCAGUUGAUCUGAUAAUGUCCUUUAUAGUAUUGCUUUCCCCUCCAUCACAAGAUCCAGGCCAGGGUUGAGUAUUGCAUUUAGCUGUCUCAAAAAGUAUGGGUUUUCAAACAUUACUGUUCACUGAAAAGGGACCAAAAUAAACAUCUUAAAGUGUUUCCAUGCUGACAUCGAUGCCUGGAAUUCCCAGGAUGGGCCCUCAUUCUCCACAUUUCCCGGCGCUGCGUAGACAUCCAUGCAUGCCUCUCCCUUCUGGGCAGGGCCCAUUCAGUACCACUUUAUGAUACAAGUUCAUGAACUUGUCACUCCUGUUGUGGCUGUAAAGCUGCAGCUGUCCUCAGUGCAGUUAUCCUGGCUGAGCCAAUCCUGUGGGUAGAUUGUACCUUAGUGCCUUCCCCUGCUACAAAUUCCAAAUGCCCACUGGCCACAUGCUCCCUCUCAGAAGGAUGGAAGCCAGGGUGGAAUACCGCCAUGCAGUGUAUAAAUUACCCUGGAGAACUCAGCCUACAGGGGCAAGGCCAUGUGGCUUUGUGUUCAAGAGCUUCACAAAGGAAUGUACCGCCGUAAUUAGGUGUCAGGACAGGAAACAGUAUUUCAUGUUACUGAGGAGUUCAAUUAUCCAAGCGUGUGCUGGAAGAUUCCUUCAGCUGAAAGUAGAGAAUCUGAUAGACUCUCAUUAUACUUAGUAACAAACUGAUUAAUAUCUGCAUCCUCUGUUGACUCUAAGCAUGGGACAAGGAUAAUCGCGUGUCGUUCCCUAGUGUUAUCCCAGCAGGGGGAGCGCGUGGCACUGAGCAGGCACUCAGUGAAAUAAGGCAUCAGUGGGAAAGAGUAUCAUGCAAAUGAAUUUAUCAGUUGAGCAAAUGAAUGGAGUAAAUGAAUGAUGCGCCCUGGGACCCAGGCACCAUCUCAGACAUUGCCAGCAGCCUUGGCAAAGAAAAAGAGAACGAGAAACAGCACCCUGGAAGUGAAAUGCUCCGACCAGAAGUGGCCCUCAGGUCUGCUCCCUUGGGACGAGGCCCCCUGGAGGCAGGUGGUGCACAUGCACCUGGCAGAGCUGGAAACCAGUGGUCAAUGGCACUGAGGACUGCCUGCCCACACCCUCACCGUGGGCCAGGGAUUGAUCUGCAAUCAUAAUGCAGUCUUAAUGUCUGCCUCAGAACCCCUGGACCCACCCCCACCUCCACCCAACAGAGUUUACCCCUCAGGGUCAGUCUGCAUUUUUAACAGACUUCCCCAGGAUCCACAUGUGCACCAGUAUUCCAAACAUGGGGAUUCUUUGAAUCUUCUAAGCAAGAAAAAUACAGGCCCUCCCACACCCCAGUAGAGAGGUGGGGAGCCUGGCAGCAUUCAAGGAAGUCUUCCCAGUGGUGGCAAUGCCCCAGUGGAGUCCUGGAGCAUCCAAGAUGGAUGCUGGGCCUGGGGCUGGAGGACAUGAGGCAUCAGGGGACUUGACAGGAGAUCAGUCUGGAAAGACCUUCGGCUCAGUCAUUCAGACACAGCACAGCAGGGAUGGCCGCCCACCUCUUCUCUGCCAUGUCUGGUAAUCAGAGCAAUCCCAGGCCCUGUCUGAGGGAUGCUGUGGUCGCUUUAGGAGUAGGCAUGAGGACCAAUUCAGACCAAAGACCAGAGAGUGGAAGGAAGUUCACUGGGGGCUCUAGAAAAGGAGCGUCCUUUCUCUUGUGGGACCCAGGCUAUGAACAAGAAAUCAUGGAGUGCCUGUUGCGCUGGCGGACUUCCUAACUCCAGGGUGAUUGGCUGAGGAGGAAGCUGGCCCUGUGGACCUCAAGGUGGAACAGCAGAGCAAAGGAAUGCACACCUGUGAAGUCAUCUCAGAUCAGCCAACCCUGGGCUUCAAGUCCCAAGAGCUAAUACAUGUCCUCACUAUUUCGGUUUUUUUCCUAUUAUUGUUUUUCCUUGCAGCUUAAAACACCAUGACUAACAUAGUUGUUCACUAUGGCAUAUGGCAUAUACCCGCUAAAGAGGAGCAGCGUCAUGGAGUCACCUUUCUGCACAGAAGUCUCUGGGCCUUUCUGUCAUUAUAGCACAAGUCACUGCAAGUAUUCGUGAAUAAGUUUAUACGUGGGACGCCUACCACAGCAUGGCUGCCAAGCAGUGCCGUGUCCGCACCCGGGAUCCGAACCAGCGAACCCCGGGCCGCCGAGAAGCGGAACGUGCGAACUUAACCGCUGCGCCACCGGGCCGGCCCCAUCACCUGGAAAAUUUGAAAGGAGAUUCCUACUACUUUAAAAGUACAUCUCAUUUCUGGAUCUACUUGCCGUGAAUUAAUAUCUUUUUAUUAAACCUUAUAUUAUCUCAUGAAAAGUGUGAUCAUAUUGCAUUUUUUGCU